GGAAAUGAGGUGCCCGCGCGCGGACAGCCAGGAGGUUGGCUUAGAAGCAGCCAUUCCUUAAAAGAGUGCGUAACAGCUCACUGGCCGAGCGCGGGCGCGCAGACAAUGUAGCGGGGCUAAGCGCCGUACCGAAACCGCGGGCCCGCUCCUCCGGGAGCGGGCGGUAGGGGAGCAUUCCGCAUUCCGGCGAAGGGGCGCCCGCGAGGGGCCCUGGAGGAAGCGGAAGAGAGAAUGCAGGUAUAAGUAACGAAAAGACGGGUGGGAUUCCCGUCCGCCUGAAACCUAAGGUUUCCCGGGUAAAGUAAAUCUGCCCGGGGUAAGUCGGCCCCUAAGGCGAGGCUGAGAAGCGUAGCCGAUGGGAAUCCGGUUCAUAUUCCGGAACCCCUGCAUGUUUCGACGGCGCGACGCGCAAGGCGAGGCCCGGCCGGGCGGCGGUAGUUCCCGGUCGAAGCACGCGAGCCUGCGACGGGGAGAGGCAAAUCCCUCCCCGGAGGCGAGCGGCGACAGCGAGCGGAGAGAAAGUCGAAGCGAAGCGGGCGCAGCCACGGCGCCGGGAAACAGCGUCUAAGGCUAGGCAUGCGGGGACCGUACCGGAAACCGACACAGGCAGGAAGGAUGAGAAAUCUAAGGCGCACGAGAGAACUCGCGUUAAGGAACUCGGCAAAAUGCACACGUAACUUCGGAAGAAGUGUGGCCCCCGCCGGCAAAAAGGCAGGGGGCGGCACAGAGCAGGCCCAGGCGACUGUUUAUCAAAAACACAGCCAUCUGCACAACCAGCGAUGGGAGGUAUAGGUGGUGACACCUGCCCGGUGCCGGAAGGUUAAGGGGAGCGGUCAGCCGCAAGGCGAAGCUGCGAACCGAAGCCCCGGUAAACGGCGGCCGUAACUAUAACGGUCCUAAGGUAGCGAAAUUCCUUGUCGGGUAAGUUCCGACCCGCACGAAUGGUGUAACGACUCUGGGCGCUGUCUCAACGCGAGACUCGGUGAAAUUUAUGUGCCGGUAAAGAAGCCGGCUACCCGCAGUUAGACGGAAAGACCCCGUGAACCUUCACCGCAACUUACUAUUGGGAUUCUAUUCGCCAUGUGUAGCAUAGGCGGGAGCCCGCGAAACGCGCCCGUCAGGGCGCGCGGAGGCGGCAAGUGAAAUACCGCCCUUGGCGGAUGGGGUUUCUAACCCGCGCCCGUGAAACCGGGGCGGGGACAAUGGUAGGCGGGCGGUUUGACUGGGGCGGUCGCCUCCCAAAAGGUAACGGAGGCGCGCGAAGGUCCCCUCGCGCCGGUUGGAAACCGGCGCGCGAGCGCAAAGGCACAAGGGGGCUUGACUGCGAGGCCGACAGGCCGGGCAGGUGCGAAAGCAGGCCUUAGUGAUCUGGCGGCAGCGAGUGGAAGCGCCGUCACUUAACGGAUUUCGGGGAGGUUUGGCACCUCGAUGUCGGCUCAUCGCAUCCUGGGGCUGGAGCAGGUCCCAAGGGUUUGGCUGUUCGCCAAUUAAAGCGGUACGUGAGCUGGGUUCAGAACGUCGUGAGACAGUUCGGUCCCUAUCUGCUGCGGGCGCUGGAUGGUUGAGAGGGGCUGCUUUUAGUACGAGAGGACCGAAGCGGGCCGGCCUCUGGCGUGCCGGUUGUCCUGCCAAGGGCAAGCGCCGGGUAGCCACGCCGGAAAGGGAUAACCGCUGAAAGCAUCUAAGCGGGAAGCCCGCCUCAAGAUAAACCAUCCCGGGGGCUUUAAGCCCCCCGAAGACUCCGGACAGACUAUCCGGUCGAUAGGCCGCAGGUCUAAGCGCGGCAACGCGUUCAGCCGAGCGGUACUAAUAAGUCGCGAGGCUUGACCAU
rnacentral:rRNA from 1 species